GACGAACGCUGGCGGCGUGCUUAACACAUGCAAGUCGAACGGAAAGGCCCUGCUUUUGUGGGGUGCUCGAGUGGCGAACGGGUGAGUAACACGUGAGUAACCUGCCCUUGACUUUGGGAUAACUUCAGGAUACUGGGGCUAAUACCGGAUAGGAGCUCCUGCUGCAUGGUGGGGGUUGGAAAGUUUCGGCGGUUGGUGAUGGACUCGCGGCUUAUCAGCUUGUUGGUGGGGUAGUGGCUUACCAAGGCUUUGACGGGUAGCCGGCCUGAGAGGGUGACCGGCCACAUUGGGACUGAGAUACGGCCCAGACUCCUACGGGAGGCAGCAGUGGGGAAUAUUGCACAAUGGGCGGAAGCCUGAUGCAGCAACGCCGCGUGCGGGAUGACGGCCUUCGGGUUGUAAACCGCUUUCGCCUGUGACGAAGCGUGAGUGACGGUAAUGGGUAAAGAAGCACCGGCUAACUACGUG
rnacentral:rRNA from 1 species